rnacentral:rRNA from 1 species
ACGUAAUAGAUACCCGGGUAGUCCUGGCAGUAAACGGUGCGCGUUUGGUGUGGGAGGAAUCGACCCCUUCCGUGCCGGAGCUAAACGCGUUAAAACGCGCCGCCUGGGGAGUACGGUCGCAAGAUUAAAACUCAAAGAAAUUGACGGGGCCCGCACAAGCGGUGGAGUAUGUGGCUUAAUUCGAUGCAACGCGAAGAACCUUACCUGGGCUUGACAUGCAUCACUAAGGCGGUGAAAGCCGUCGAGCGUAGCAAUACGCAUUUUGCACAGGUGCUGCAUGGCUGUCGUCAGCUCGUGUCGUGAGAUGUUGGGUUAAGUCCCGCAACGAGCGCAACCCUUGUGGCCUGUUGCUACCGAGCUUUGCUCGGGCACUCUGGCCAGACUGCCCUGUGAAACGGGGAGGAAGGUGAGGAUGACGUCAAGUCAGCAUGGCCCUUACGCCCAGGGCUGCACACGUACUACAAUGCACAGUACAGAAGGAGCCGAGACCGCGAGGUGGAGGAAAUCACGAAAACUGUGCCCAAUUCGGA